rnacentral:tRNA from 2 species
AUUUAUAUAGUUUAAUAAAAACCUUACAUUUUCACUGUAAAAAUAAAGAAUUUUCUUUUAUAAAUU